UUGAGCUACUAAUCUUUCAGUAGAUUCUCUCAGUCUUCCAAAUUCUAUGAACGAUGCCCUAUCUCUAUUACACAUGAACAAACCCAUAUCCAAGCAGUAGAAGUUGAUCCACACUCCAGUGACUUAAAAGGUUUGACUUGUGGGCACACCAAAAAUGUGGCCAGCUGGGAACAAAAGCAACAUACAGGUAGAAACCACUUUUUCUGAUGACGGACACAUGUUGAUCCUUUAUAUUGGAAGGGGACCACCUAUUACUUUCUGUCCAUGAGAACUCAGAUGAGAGUGUACAGAGUCAGAGAAUCAGAUAAGUGAUGGAAAUGGAGGGUCCAUGUGGAGUUCUCCUGACUUCUACUCGAGUGACUGCUCAACCUGCAUUCUCCUGGAGCCUCAAGCCUGCUUAGGAACCCCUGGCAAGAGCAACUGGACAGAAGUGCAGCUUCCCAAGAGGGGAGAGACCAGGGUCACAGAAAACGACGCACAAGAAAAUCGGUGUAGUGCUGAGCACAGAGUAAGGGCUCAGCGUACACGAAUGCCUCUGAGGAUGCCCACAUGGCCCAUUUCUGUGCUCGAGGUGUGACUGGGGAAGGGGAAAUAAGGCCAACAGGUGGGGAAGGGUUUCUUCUCCUGAGCCCGUCAUUGCUGGUGACACAUCACAGUCCCUACCAAACCCCAUGGAUCACGUAAAAUGUCAUUGGAAACCUUGUAACUCACCAUUAAAACUGCUGCAUGUAGGAAAACAA